rnacentral:rRNA from 1 species
UGGGUUUGACAUCCUCUGCACUCCCCUGGAAACAGGGCUUUCCCGGCUCUGUCGGGACAGAGUGAC